rnacentral:lncRNA from 1 species
CCCAGAGUGACCCAAGGGUCCUGGGGCGACCCAGAGCAGGCUGGAGCUCGGGUCAGGGCGCGCGGCUCCAGACCAGAUGGCCACUCUGCUUCUCCAAGCCUGACCUGGCGUGACAAAGCGUCCUACGGGUGAAGAGCUCGGGUUCUAACCCGCACCCUGUGCGCCCCCUCGCCGCGCCCGCCGUGGGAGGCGGGGACCUGUGCGUGCAGCCCGGACUCCCGCCCGGCGCCGCCCGACCGCGCUCUCCGCGGGCCACCUCCGGGGGAAGCCAAACCCGCUGCCCCGCGUCGGGAAAGGAUGUGGGUGCGGACCCUCGGCUCGCUGCUAGAAAGGACGCGCUACCCCGCCCGGCUCCCAGCCCUCUGGUUCGAAUGCCUUCCUCAUUUCCGGUGCAGGAGAAGUGAUAUCUUCUAAUUCUUGGAAAACUUUAGGAAAGUUUCCCUACAGUCAUGACUCAGCUGUCGUGAAGAAGGAAGGACAUGUUUGUUUUUUCCUGCCCCUCUGGAUCAUGAGGGCUUAGAGUUUUUGAUAAAGAAUUUCAAUUUAAAGAAUUUCAAUAACAUCAGAAAAAUGUUAAAUAUAGCAAAGUAUUUGUGAGACAUUGGUUGACGUUCUUACACAUGACAAGAGUGUAUCACUCAUGCAGAAGUUCAGGUUGCUGGACUGAUGAAUAAAAAAAUACAGUAUAUGUAAAAUUUCCAAGACGAAUGAAAUCCUAAACAAUUGAAAGUAGUUUAAAAUGAUUUGUUGAUCCCUACUAGUCCUUAAAGUGUAUCUCACAUUUGUCACGUGGAAAACCUAAUGUGCUGUGAUAAGAAUCUCAUUUUCAAUUUAGGAGCAACUAAAUGAUUAGAGUAAAUCUUCAAUGUGCUGAAUUAUCAAAGAAAAUGUAUU